rnacentral:piRNA from 1 species
UAUGUACACAUUUUAUUAUUA